UUUCUACUCCCUCCGUCCCAAAAUUCUUGUCUUACAUUUGUCUAAAUACGGAUGUAUCAAGUCACGUUUUAGUAUUAGAUACAUCCGUAUCUAGAGAAAUUUAAGACAAGAAUUUUGGGACGGAGGGAGUAGUUU
rfam:Triticum aestivum genome assembly, contig: Triticum_aestivum_CS42_TGACv1_scaffold_061992_1DL